rnacentral:sRNA from 1 species
AGAGGAAAAACAACCUAAAAAGCAGCCUAAGAAGGAUGAAGAGGGCCAGAAGGAAGAAGAUAAGCCAAGAAAAGAGCCGGAUAAAAAAGAGGGGAAGAAAGAAGUUGAAUCAAAAAGGAAAAAUUUAGCUAAAACAGGGGUUACUUCAACCUCCGAUUCUGAAGAAGAAGGAGAUGAUCAAGAAGGUGAAAAGAAGAGAAAAGGUGGGAGGAACUUUCAGACUGCUCACAGAAGGAAUAUGCUGAAAGGCCAACAUGAGAAAGAAGCAGCAGAUCGAAAACGCAAGCAAGAGGAACAAAUGGAAACUGAGCAGUAAGUAUUUUUUUUUUCUAAAUUUUGGGUUCUUUAUUAAAGGCUAGCAUGGAAUUUUUAAAUAAUAGACUUUCAUUUUCCAGACUUUAUGAAGCCUUUUGAAGAAGUGACUUUUCCCAUGUGUUAGAAAAAUCUUCAAUAUAUGAUGAUGAUCUUAUUUCAGGCUUCAUUCUCUUCUGAGAGGAUGAAAUUGACUGAGGCAGUCACUCUGUGAAUUAUUUUUGAAUUUAAACGAAGUGCAGAUAGGAUUUAAUUGAUACUGGCUUUGCAAGACGUGUACUCAUCCUCUACCAUUUGUUUGUAUAAUAUAAUACAUAUAGAUAGAGGGGCGAUAAUAUACUGGUAGACAAAGAAUGCAGGAAAUACCCUUAUUCAUCACACCACCAAGCAGGCCUCACCCUAAAGACCAGCAAAAGUAACAAAAGCACAUUUGGAAACCCAGGAAGCCAGUAAAAGUAAAUCUAAAGGCUGACAGGGUGUACAUUAUUAUAUAUGUGCAAUAUAAAUCAAAUUCAAAGCUGUUUUCUCUUAAAUUUUGAUACUUAGAGA